rnacentral:rRNA from 1 species
UACGAAGGGUGCAAGCGUUACUCGGAAUCACUGGGCGUAAAGCGUGCGUAGGCGGUCUCUUAAGUCUGUCGUGAAAGCCCUGGGCUCAACCUGGGAACGGCGAUGGAUACUGGGAAGCUAGAAUGUGAGAGAGGAUGGUGGAAUUCCCGGUGUAGCGGUGAAAUGCGUAGAGAUCGGGAGGAACACCGGUGGCGAAGGCGGUUCUCUGGGCCGAUACUGACGCUGAGGCGCGAAAGCGUGGGGAGCGAACAGG